CCAAGUGACGGGAUCUUGACUGAACCUUCUGGAGACCAAGAAGGGAGUGAGAGAUCCACUUCAUCCUUACAACAGACAUCAAGUGACAGGUACCUGACUGAACCCUCUGGAAACCAAUAAUGGAGUGAGAGAUCCACUUCAUCCUUACAACAGACAUCAAGUGACAGCUACCUGACUGAACCCUCUGGAAACCAAGAAUGGAGUGAGAGAUCCACUUCAUCCUUACAACAGACACCAAAUGACAGGUACCUGACUGAACCCUCUGGAGACCAAGAAUGGAGUGAGAGAUCCACUACAUCCUUACAACAGGUUACUACUUCUUAUCAUGAUAUACUAGGUUUGAGUUUUCAGCUUUCUUUGACAAACACAGGAGAAGUUAUAAAUCAGAAACAUGGACUCUCCAUGAUUUC